UAGCUCGACUAUUCAUAGAAUAGUGAGCUAUUGCACUCGCCCAUGCGUCGGCGUCCGCGUCGGCGUCGGCGUCGGCGUCCGCGUCCGCGUCCCGAUUUUGGUUAAGGUUUUGUAUGUAAGCUGGUAUCUCAGUAACCACUUGUGGGAAUGGAUUGAAACUUCACACACUUAUUCACUGUGACAAACUGACUUACAUUGCACAGGUUCCAUAACUCUAUUUUGCUUUUUUACAAAAUUAUGCCCCUUUUUCGACUUAGAAAUUUUUGGUUAAGGUUUUGUAUGUAAGCUGGUAACUCAGUAACCACUUGUGGGAAUGGAUUGAAACUUCACACACUUAUUCACUGUGAUGAACUGAUCUACAUUGCACAGGUUCCAUAACCCUAUUUUGCUUUUUUACAAAAUAAUGCCCCUUUUUCGACUUAGAAAUUUUUGGUUAAGGUUUUGUAUGUAAGCUGGUAUCUCAGUACUUACUAAUGGGAAUGGAUUGAAACUUCACAUACUUGUUCACUAUCAUGAUCUGACAUGCACUAAGCAAGUCCCAUAACUCUACUCUCUUUUUUUUUCAAAAUUAUGCCCCUUUUUCGACUUAGCAGUUUUUGGUUAAAUUUUUGUAUGUAAUCUGAUAUCUCAGUAUCUACUAAUUGGAAUGGAUUGAAACUUCACACACUUGUUCACUGUCAUGAUCUAACAUGCACUGUGAAGGUCCCAUAACUCUACUUGGCAUUUUUACAAAAUUAUGCCCCUUUGACUUAGCAGUUUUUUGUUAAGUUUUUAUAUGUAAGCUGGUAUCUCAGUAUCCACAAAUUGGAAAGGAUUGAAACUUCACACACUUGUUCACUGUCAUGAUAUGACAUGCAGUACAGAGGUUCAAUACCUCUACUUUGCAUUUUACAAAAUUAUGCCCCUUUUUCAACUUUUGUAUUCAUUCAGUUGACAAGGCUGUUGAAUAGUCGAGCGUUGCUGUCCUCCGACAGCUCUUGUUUUUAUAUAGACUGGUGUCAUGUGUUGGCUUAUGGAUAGAGUUUCAGGUUCCUGUGGUGCAUGUACUACGAAAGGCGUUUCAUAAAUAAUGCAACUGUUACAAAAUCUCGAAAAUCACGUGCACUACCACCACCAAACCCAUACUUUACGCUUGAAAAAUUAUUCGUCUCCGUUUUUCACGAGAUUUGGUUAAUAUAUAUUGAACCAUGUACAAAUAUUGUAUUGUCCGUAAGUAAUGACCUGGCACCGCUAAUAUUUUCGGGCCUUUUCGUUAACUAACGCAAUAAUAUAUUUGUAUCUUGAAAGGAUCUAUUUACUAAAAUAACCUAUAAAGUUAACUAAUGACACGGUGGCCUAGUGGUAAGGUGUCUGACUUCCACGUACUUUACCACGGGUUUGAAAUUACCUCAGACCAUUUUUCUAAAUUCAAUGUAAUGUAAUUUGAGGUAACAUAUUUCACGAAAUAUAAUUGUUUUCUCUUGUAGUAUCAAUUUUCUGGCAACGCUGGAGACAAGCUAUUUGUCUUUUUUUUUAUUCUAUAUUUUCGGUUUACUUGAAUACAAAUGCAUUUUUUUUUUCAAUAAAUGAACAAUAAAAUUUGAUCAGUUUUCCUGCCUGUUGAUAAAAUUUGAAAAAAAAAAGAUAUGAGAUGUGAGACUCGAACCCACAAAGUCGAGAUAAAUUUUGUAGCUAAGCGGUUUGUCCGCACAGCUACUUUCAUAUGUGAAAGUAAGUCAUUUAUAAAGAAAUCUAUACGCAAUAGUUAUGUCGCUAUGUAGGGCACCGAGAAUAGACGAAAUAUUCAUGGGUGCCAGGCCAAGAGUUGCGGACAAUAGUUUUUAAGUAGGUUUCUUCACGCUACUACAUAUCAAAACGGUCGGCAAACAUUCAGAAAAGUGGUUAUAAAUUUAGGAAUAAGUGCAAAAUGUAUUUUUAAUGAAAUUUGUAAUGUAUAUGGACACUAUAAAGUUUCAUAUAGCACGGUGGUGACGAGAUGGAUAUCUCGAUUCAAAUCGAGAAGGGAGCAGCUAGAAGACCUUCGACAUUCUUGACGACCAACGACAGCAAGCAUCAAGAAAAAACGCCCAGUUAAUCAAGGAUUUAACUGUUCGUGAUUUAGCUCGUCGAUCAGGGAUAUCAUCAGCACGAGUUCAUUUCAUUCUUCGCAAAAUCCUGCUAGUGAAAAAGAAAUGUACAGGAUGAAUACCCCACCUUUUGACAGCCGAACAAAAACAGCAGCGUGUUCGAAAGGCCAAGAAAUUGCUUAAGUUAUACCCUGAAUUUGACAUUAAACAUUUUUCAGAAUUAAUUAAAGGUGGUGAGACAUGGGUUCACUUACCGCCUCGGUAGCCUAGUGGUAUAGCAUCCGCUUCGAGUGCGGGAGGUCGUGGGUUCGAUCCCUGGCCGCGUCUUACUAAAGACGUAAAAAUCAGCAUUAAGAGGAUAGUUCUAGGACUGGUCAGCCCGGUGUCAGUAUAGUGUGACUGGGUGGGGUAUCAUAUUCCGUGUCUACGGCGUGAUAUUUCAGUGAUAUAGCACAGAGGCAGCACUAUAAAGUUGGGCAUUGUGCUCACUGCUACAAGUAGACACCGUCGUUUAUAUGACUGAAAAAUUGUUGAAAAAGAUGUUAAACCCGAACGCACGCACGCACGCAUUCACACGGGUUUACUUCUUUGAGCCCAAACGGAAGUAACUGCCAAAUUCUACGAAACCGUUCUUAAGGAACUGAACAAAUAAUUUAAAGUGCAUCGACCACAAAAUGGUACAAAGUACAUUUCACUUUUUUCAUGACAAUGCAUCCUUAUACAAGGCUCAUAUUGUAAAGGAUUAUUUGAGCAAAGAAAAGGUACGAGUUUUGGAACAUCCAGCCCACUCGUCAGACUUGGCACCAUGCGACUAUUUUUUAUUCCCAAAGCUGAAAUCGAUGCUCGCUCGACUUUGUGUCUGGCUACUUUCAAAUAAGAAUCCGGUUGGCAGUAAUCUUUUACAUUACAAGUGUUAGUUUUUCUUCGAAUUACGUCAUUUGAAAGUAAUCCAGCUCUUAAUUUAAACUUCUGGAUUAUUUUAGUAAUUAAAACUGGUUAAAUGAAAAUUUGUUUAUUUCAACAAAUGUAUAGAAAGCAUUUGUUUGUUUCAGUUUAAGAUCGAACUUUCAGAGUGAACAACAGAUGCCACGCCGCACGCGAGAAUGCAAGAUAUUAUAAGACGAAAAAGGACCUGUUGUGUCACAACUACAACAUUUACGGACUACAUUUCUGUGCGGAAGGAUUAAAAAACUACUACAGACUGGCGGCCAUGAGGCUAUAUACCAAUAAAAGAAAUUGUUCUUUGUUUCAUAUAAAAUUCAGCUACUUCAGAACAAUUUUGUUACAGUUUCUAGAUUUUCACUCCGUCGUAGACCUAUUUUCCACAAGAUAUCCAUACAUUUGCUUCAAGAAAACGAAAAGAAAAAGGGGUGUUGAAUAGUAUGCAGUGAAAUGCAAGUCAACUGAAGUCAGGUACCCUCAUAUUGCCGCAUUUCAGAAAGCGGUCCGCAGAAUAAACACACUACUUUCGUUUUCAAGUAAACGACUCGAAAACAUGCGAAUAUUAGCAUGAAAAGUGUCCUAUUUUAUGUAAAAUUCAUUCCACGAGUGAAAUAAUGCCCAUUUGGCUCCCGACUUCUUUCGAUAAACCACAGAAGCACAUUUUUGACCGAAUUACUGCAUUAUAACCAUGACAGAAUAUGUAUGGGAAAUUUAAACAUUAACUGGAUACUUUGAUGUGUAGCAAAAAAGUUCAUUGUUGAUGAUAGUGUUUCUUUAUGGUUUAUUGACUGGGACAUUAUUAAUCUUCAGAAAUACAGAGCUGUCAGUGCUGUAAAUUUGUUGUGAAAUUCGCAAUCCGUGUCCAAAAGUGCUUGUUUUACUAUACAGCAAAGAAGGAGAAAUUGUACCGGGCCGACACCAAAGGUACAUUCAUCAUGCAAUAAUAAAGUUGUAUUUGCCGAAACUGGUCCUAGGUUCAGGAAACAGUAAAAAUGCAUUAUGCAUAAAUGUUUAAAGUUCUAAAUGACAUUAUCAAAGGAAUUUUUUCAAUUCUCUAAAGAAGGCAUAUUAGAAAGACACAUUUGUUGUUUGGUGAAAGAAGAUGAAACAUGUUUGUGAAAUUUUGAGUUUUACUGAUAUAUGUUUUAUACAGAUUAAUUCACAAAACAUAAUUUUUGAUUUUAUGGUGAACUUUGUGCUCGUCGUUACUGAAUUCUAAUUCAAUGAGUUCAUGUACUAAAUUGUUAAAGUUUUAAGUUGAGCAAUAUAAUAUAAAUAAACUUGUCUUUCUAUGUUGACAUUGUUAUAGAUCCAAGGUCUGUAUAAUGAUAAAUGGAUUGGAAUAUUUAUUGUAAUCUUAAUAAUAUUGUGUCGUUGAGUCCACUGAACCGUUUAGCUUAAAUUAAUAUCAAUUAUUAAUUGAAUUUACAUCAAAUAUUGCGCAGUGGGAUCCAAUUAUAAAGGUAAAUUAAAUGGUGAAAUUAAAAAA